GAACGCUGGCGGCGUGCCUAACACAUGCAAGUCGAACGGAGUGUUGAGAGCUUGCUUUUAACACUUAGUGGCGGACGGGUGAGUAAUGUAUGAGCAACCUGCCUUUCAGAGGGGGACAACAGUUGGAAACGACUGCUAAUACCGCAUAAAGUAUUUAGGAGGCAUCUCUUGAAUACCAAAGGAGCAAUCCGCUGAAAGAUGGGCUCAUAUCUGAUUAGCUAGUUGGUGAGGUAACGGCUCACCAAGGCUGCGAUCAGUAGCCGGACUGAGAGGUUGAACGGCCACAUUGGGACUGAGAUACGGCCCAGACUCCUACGGGAGGCAGCAGUGGGGAAUAUUGGGCAAUGGGCGAAAGCCUGACCCAGCAACGCCGCGUGAAGGAAGAAGGCUUUCGAGUUGUAAACUUCUUUUGUCAGGGACGAGUAGAAGACGGUACCUGACGAAUAAGCCACGGCUAACUACGUGCCAGCAGCCGCGGUAAUACGUAGGUGGCAAGCGUUGUCCGGAUUUACUGGGUGUAAAGGGAGCGUAGACGGAACAGCAAGUCUGAAGUGAAAUGUAGGGGCUCAACCCCUGAACUGCUUUGGAAACUGUUGAUCUUGAGUACCGGAGGGGCAGGCGGAAUUCCUGGUGUAGCGGUGAAAUGCGUAGAUAUCAGGAAGAACACCGGUGGCGAAGGCGGCCUGCUGGACGGUAACUGACGUUGAGGCUCGAAAGCGUGGGGAGCAAACAGGAUUA
rnacentral:rRNA from 1 species